UACGAGGGGGGCGAGCGUUGUUCGGAAUUAUUGGGCGUAAAGGGUGCGUAGGCGGUUUGGUAAGUCUUAUGUGAAAUCUAUGGGCUCAACUCAUAGACUGCAUGAGAAACUGCCGGGCUUGAGUAUGGGAGAGGUGAGUGGAAUUCCUGGUGUAGCGGUGAAAUGCGUAGAUAUCAGGAGGAACACCGAUGGCGAAGGCAGGUCUCUGGGCCACUACUGACGCUGAGAAGCGAAAGCAUGGGGAGCGAACAGG
rnacentral:rRNA from 1 species